AUUGAACGCUGGCGGCAUGCCUUACACAUGCAAGUCGAACGGCAGCACGGGAGCAAUCCUGGUGGCGAGUGGCGAACGGGUGAGUAAUAUAUCGGAACGUGCCCAGUCGUGGGGGAUAACGUAGCGAAAGCUACGCUAAUACCGCAUACGAUCUAUGGAUGAAAGCGGGGGAUCGCAAGACCUCGCGCGAUUGGAGCGGCCGAUAUCAGAUUAGGUAGUUGGUGAGGUAAAGGCUCACCAAGCCGACGAUCUGUAGCUGGUCUGAGAGGACGACCAGCCACACUGGGACUGAGACACGGCCCAGACUCCUACGGGAGGCAGCAGUGGGGAAUUUUGGACAAUAGGCGCAAGCCUGAUCCAGCAAUGCCGCGUGCAGGAUGAAGGCCUUCGGGUUGUAAACUGCUUUUGUACGGAACGAAACGGUGAGCUCUAAUACAGUUUGCUAAUGACGGUACCGUAAGAAUAAGCACCGGCUAACUACGUG
rnacentral:rRNA from 1 species